GCGGGUAUAGUUUAGUGGUAAAACCCUAGCCUUCCAAGCUAAUGAUGCGGGUUCGAUUCCCGCUACCCGCU
rnacentral:tRNA from 64 species